rnacentral:rRNA from 1 species
GGGUUGUGAGGUUAAGCGACUAAGCGUACACGGUGGAUGCCCUGGCAGUCAGAGGCGAUGAAGGACGUGCUAAUCUGCGAAAAGCGUCGGUAAGGUGAUAUGAACCGUUAUAACCGGCGAUGUCCGAAUGGGGAAACCCAGUGCAAUUCGUUGCACUAUCGUUAACUGAAUACAUAGGUUAACGAGGCGAACCGGGGGAACUGAAACAUCUAAGUACCCCGAGGAAAAGAAAUCAACCGAGAUUCCCCCAGUAGCGGCGAGCGAACGGGGAGCAGCCCAGAGUCUGAAUCAGCUUGUGUGUUAGUGGAACGGUCUGGAAAGUCCGACGGUACAGGGUGAUAGUCCCGUACACCAAAAUGCACAGGUUGUGAACUCGAAGAGUAGGGCGGGACACGUGGUAUCCUGUCUGAAUAUGGGGGGACCAUCCUCCAAGGCUAAAUACUCCUGACUGACCGAUAGUGAACCAGUACCGUGAGGGAAAGGCGAAAAGAACCCCGGCGAGGGGAGUGAAAAAGAACCUGAAACCGUGUACGUACAAGCAGUGGGAGCACCUUCGGGUGUGACUGCGUACCUUUUGUAUAAUGGGUCAGCGACUUAUAUUCUGUAGCAAGGUUAACCGUAUAGGGGAGCCGCAGGGAAACCGAGUCUUAACUGGGCGUUAAGUUGCAGGGUAUAGACCCGAAACCCGGUGAUCUAGCCAUGGGCAGGUUGAAGGUUGGGUAACACUAACUGGAGGACCGAACCGACUAAUGUUGAAAAAUUAGCGGAUGACUUGUGGCUGGGGGUGAAAGGCCAAUCAAACCGGGAGAUAGCUGGUUCUCCCCGAAAGCUAUUUAGGUAGCGCCUCGUGAACUCAUCUUCGGGGGUAGAGCACUGUUUCGGCUAGGGGGUCAUCCCGACUUACCAACCCGAUGCAAACUACGAAUACCGAAGAAUGUUAUCACGGGAGACACACGGCGGGUGCUAACGUCCGUCGUGAAGAGGGAAACAACCCAGACCGCCAGCUAAGGUCCCAAAGUCACAGUUAAGUGGGAAACGAUGUGGGAAGGCACAGACAGCCAGGAUGUUGGCUUAGAAGCAGCCAUCAUUUAAAGAAAGCGUAAUAGCUCACUGGUCGAGUCGGCCUGCGCGGAAGAUGUAACGGGGCUAAACUGUGCACCGAAGCUGCGGCAGCGACACUAUGUGUUGUUGGGUAGGGGAGCGUUCUGUAAGCCUGCGAAGGUGGCCUGUGAGGGUUGCUGGAGGUAUCAGAAGUGCGAAUGCUGACAUAAGUAACGAUAAUGCGGGUGAAAAGCCCGCACGCCGGAAGACCAAGGGUUCCUGUCCAACGUUAAUCGGGGCAGGGUGAGUCGACCCCUAAGGCGAGGCCGAAAGGCGUAGUCGAUGGGAAACAGGUUAAUAUUCCUGUACUUGGUGUUACUGCGAAGGGGGGACGGAGAAGGCUAUGUUAGCCGGGCGACGGUUGUCCCGGUUUAAGCAUGUAGGCGGAGGUUCCAGGUAAAUCCGGUACCUUUUAACGCUGAGGUGUGAUGACGAGGCACUACGGUGCUGAAGUAACAAAUGCCCUGCUUCCAGGAAAAGCCUCUAAGCAUCAGGUAACAUUAAAUCGUACCCCAAACCGACACAGGUGGUCAGGUAGAGAAUACCAAGGCGCUUGAGAGAACUCGGGUGAAGGAACUAGGCAAAAUGGUGCCGUAACUUCGGGAGAAGGCACGCUGAUAUGUAGGUGAAGCCCCUGCGGGUGGAGCUGAAAUCAGUCGAAGAUACCAGCUGGCUGCAACUGUUUAUUAAAAACACAGCACUGUGCAAACACGAAAGUGGACGUAUACGGUGUGACGCCUGCCCGGUGCCGGAAGGUUAAUUGAUGGGGUUAUCCGUAAGGAGAAGCUCUUGAUCGAAGCCCCGGUAAACGGCGGCCGUAACUAUAACGGUCCUAAGGUAGCGAAAUUCCUUGUCGGGUAAGUUCCGACCUGCACGAAUGGCGUAAUGAUGGCCAGGCUGUCUCCACCCGAGACUCAGUGAAAUUGAACUCGCUGUGAAGAUGCAGUGUACCCGCGGCAAGACGGAAAGACCCCGUGAACCUUUACUAUAGCUUGACACUGAACAUUGAGCCUUGAUGUGUAGGAUAGGUGGGAGGCUUUGAAGCGUGGACGCCAGUCUGCGUGGAGCCAACCUUGAAAUACCACCCUUUAAUGUUUGAUGUUCUAACGUUGGCCCCUUAUCGGGGUUGCGGACAGUGUCUGGUGGGUAGUUUGACUGGGGCGGUCUCCUCCCAAAGAGUAACGGAGGAGCACGAAGGUUAGCUAAUCCUGGUCGGACAUCAGGAGGUUAGUGCAAUGGCAUAAGCUAGCUUGACUGCGAGCGUGACGGCGCGAGCAGGUGCGAAAGCAGGUCAUAGUGAUCCGGUGGUUCUGAAUGGAAGGGCCAUCGCUCAACGGAUAAAAGGUACUCCGGGGAUAACAGGCUGAUACCGCCCAAGAGUUCAUAUCGACGGCGGUGUUUGGCACCUCGAUGUCGGCUCAUCACAUCCUGGGGCUGAAGUAGGUCCCAAGGGUAUGGCUGUUCGCCAUUUAAAGUGGUACGCGAGCUGGGUUUAGAACGUCGUGAGACAGUUCGGUCCCUAUCUGCCGUGGGCGCUGGAGAAUUGAGGGGGGCUGCUCCUAGUACGAGAGGACCGGAGUGGACGCAUCACUGGUGUUCGGGUUGUCAUGCCAAUGGCAUUGCCCGGUAGCUAAAUGCGGAAGAGAUAAGUGCUGAAAGCAUCUAAGCACGAAACUUGCCCCGAGAUGAGUUCUCCCUGAGACUUUAAGUCUCCUGAAGGAACGUUAAAGACGAUGACGUUGAUAGGUCGGGUGUGUAAGCGUAGCGAUACGUUGAGCUAACCGAUACUAAUGAACCGUGAGGCUUAACCUUACAACGCCGAAGGUGUUU